AAAAUAAGCCCAUAUAAAUAGGCGUGAGAAUUUGGAAUUCUCUGGGUUUUGCGAAGCUUUUUAAUGGAGUUGGGUCUGUGAUUUGGCAUUUUAUAAAAUCUGUGCACCACACGGAAAAGGCAAUGUGGAAAGCGGGAGAAAGAAGAGGAAGAU